AUUAUACUUUCUCUGUCUGAAAAUACUUCUUAUAAGAAUGGAUGUAUUUAGAUGUAUUUUAAUUUUAGAUACAUCCUUUUUUAUCCAUGUGUGACAAGUAAUUCCAGACGGAUGGAGUAUACA
rfam:Hordeum vulgare subsp. vulgare, WGS project CAJW01000000 data, contig: morex_contig_1630197